UACGUAGGGGGCUAGCGUUGUUCGGAAUUACUGGGCGUAAAGGGCUCGUAGGUGGCCAACUAAGUCAGACGUGAAAUCCCUCAGCUUAACUGGGGAACUGCGUCUGAUACUGGAUGGCUUGAGUUUGGGAGAGGGAUGCGGAAUUCCAGGUGUAGCGGUGAAAUGCGUAGAUAUCUGGAGGAACACCGGUGGCGAAGGCGGCAUCCUGGACCAACACUGACACUGAGGAGCGAAAGCCAGGGGAGCAAACGGA
rnacentral:rRNA from 1 species